AGAUUGCGCCACUACACUCCAGCCUGGGCGACAGACCGAGAGUCCGUCCCUAAAUAAAUAAAUAAAUAAAUAUUUAAAAUGAGGCCUCUCAACCAACACCUUCACGCCAGCAUUCUGGUGAGGUCUCCGUGUCCCUGUUUCUGGCCCACCUGCCCUUGCCUCUCACUCCUCUCUGCCUGUUAUCUUCCGUAUUUCUCUGAGUGUCUGUCUAACCAGGUCUUCCUUCUCCCAUUGAUUUUUUUUCCUGCAUCUCCACCCCACUUCUGCAGAAUUGUCUUUCUCCUUGUCUCUUCGCAGGGAUGGGGUCUCUGUGUGUCUCCCUGAAUCACUUUCCCUGUCUCUGUCCGUGUCUGCAUCUAUUUCUCCCUGUCUGUGUACCCAUCGUUGCUCAGAGGCGCGAACAGAAUUCACUUGGGACAGUGUAAGCAAAAAGGACUUAUUAAGGGACACAGAGCCUCUCAGAAGAAACAGAAUCUAGGCUGAGCCUCCAGGGCAUUCUCAAAUCCAGCGCUCAGAAAGGGCCGUCCAGGAACCGCUGCUCCUCCUGCGCGAUCAGGAAGCCGCCAGCCGGCUCCACCGCCGCAGCCUCUCGCCGGGAUCUGCACUGGCCUUCGGGCUGCCUCUCGCCCAGCUUACUUCGGUAAGAAAUUCAAGCUUCCCGCGGAGGCACCUGAUUGGUGGAACCUAACCUCCGGCCACAUGCGCAGCCACAAGGCAUUCUGGGAAACGUAGUUUUGAGCCCUCCAGCCGCUGCAGUCGCAGGAAGGUGCGCUAGGAGAGUGGAAUAGAUGUUGAGAGGCGCCACACCUCCUCCACGUGGUUGCACGCCCUCUCUCUCUGUCCAUCUCUGUUUUUACGUGCAUGUAUAAUCUCACUUGCUGUCUUCGUGUGUGUUCUGUCUCCUUGGUUUGAUUUUCCCCCCC
rnacentral:lncRNA from 1 species